rnacentral:rRNA from 1 species
UGCAAGUCGAACGAUGAAGGGGAGCUUGCUCCCUGGAUUAGUGGCGAACGGGUGAGUAACACGUGAGCAACCUGCCCCUAACUCUGGGAUAACGCUUCGAAAGGAGUGCUAAUACCGGAUACCAGCACGGAGGACAUCCUCUGUGCUUGAAAGUUUUCGGUUAGGGAUGGGCUCGCGGCCUAUCAGCUAGUUGGUGAGGUAAAAGCUCACCAAGGCGACGACGGGUAUCCGGCCUGAGAGGGCGACCGGACACACUGGAACUGAGACACGGUCCAGACUCC